rnacentral:rRNA from 1 species
GAUGAACGCUGGCGGCGUGCAUAACACAUUCAAGUCGAACGAGGUAGCAAUACCGAGUGGCGGACGGGUGAGUAACGCGUGAGCAACCUGCCCUUGUGUGGGGGAUACCGUCUGGAAACGGACGUUAAUACCGCAUAACGUAUGGGAACCGCAUGGUGCCCAUACCAAAGAUUUAUUGCGCAAGGAUGGGCUCGCGUCCCAUUAGAUAGUUGGUGAGGUAACGGCCCACCAAGUCGACGAUCAGUAGCCGGACUGAGAGGUUGGCCGGCCACAUUGGGACUGAGACACGGCCCAG